rnacentral:rRNA from 1 species
AACGAACGCUGGCGGCAGGCUUAACACAUGCAAGUCGAGCGCCCCGAAAGGGGAGCGGCAGACGGGUGAGUAAAGCGUGGGAAUGUGCCCUUCGGUCUGGAAUCAAUCAGGGAAACUUGAGCUAAUACCGGAUAAGCUCUUCGGGGGAAAGAUUUAUUGCCAUCGGAGCAGCCCGCGUCAGAGUAGCUAGUUGGUGAGGUAAAAGCUCACCAAGGCGAUGAUCUGUAGCUGGUCUGAGAGGACGACCAGCCACACUGGGACUGAGACACGGCCCAGACUCCUACGGGAGGCAGCAGUUGGUAAUAUUGGACAAUGGGGGCAACCCUGAUCCAGCCAUGCCGCGUGAGUGAUGAAGGCCUUAGGGUUGUAAAGCUCUUUUACUCGGGAAGAUAAUGACUGUACCGAGAGAAUAAGCCCCGGCUAACUUCGUGCCAGCCGCCGCGGUAA